rnacentral:ncRNA from 2 species
AUGCGUCUUCAGGGCGGGGUGAAAUUCCCCACCGGCGGUAGGGCUCCAUUUAGAAGUAGGGGAGCCAAGCCCGCGAGCGCCUGCGCCAGCAGGGUCAGCAGAUCCGGUCAGAUUCCGGAGCCGACGGUUACAGUCCGGAUGAGAGAAGACCAGG